ACUGUGAGGUAUGCUGGAGGUAUCAGAAGUGCGAAUGCUGACAUAAGUAACGAUAAAGCGGGUGAAAAGCCCGCUCGCCGGAAGACCAAGGGUUCCUGUCCAACGUUAAUCGGGGCAGGGUGAGUCGACCCCUAAGGCGAGGCCGAAAGGCGUAGUCGAUGGGAAACAGGUUAAUAUUCCUGUACUUGGUGUUACUGCGAAGGGGGGACGGAGAAGGCUAUGUUGGCCGGGCGACGGUUGUCCCGGUUUAAGCGUGUAGGCUGGUUUUCCAGGCAAAUCCGGAAAAUCAAGGCUGAGGCGUGAUGACGAGGCACUACGGUGCUGAAGCGACAAAUGCCCUGCUUCCAGGAAAAGCCUCUAAGCAUCAGGUAACAUCAAAUCGUACCCCAAACCGACACAGGUGGUCAGGUAGAGAAUACCAAGGCGCUUGAGAGAACUCGGGUGAAGGAACUAGGCAAAAUGGUGCCGUAACUUCGGGAGAAGGCACGCUGAUAUGUAGGUGAAGCGACUUGCUCGUGGAGCUGAAAUCAGUCGAAGAUACCAGCUGGCUGCAACUGUUUAUUAAAAACACAGCACUGUGCAAACACGAAAGUGGACGUAUACGGUGUGACGCCUGCCCGGUGCCGGAAGGUUAAUUGAUGGGGUUAGCGGUAACGCGAAGCUCUUGAUCGAAGCCCCGGUAAACGGCGGCCGUAACUAUAACGGUCCUAAGGUAGCGAAAUUCCUUGUCGGGUAAGUUCCGACCUGCACGAAUGGCGUAAUGAUGGCCAGGCUGUCUCCACCCGAGACUCAGUGAAAUUGAACUCGCUGUGAAGAUGCAGUGUACCCGCGGCAAGACGGAAAGACCCCGUGAACCUUUACUAUAGCUUGACACUGAACAUUGAGCCUUGAUGUGUAGGAUAGGUGGGAGGCUUUGAAGUGUGGACGCCAGUCUGCAUGGAGCCGACCUUGAAAUACCACCCUUUAAUGUUUGAUGUUCUAACGUGGGCCCCUUACCGGGGUUGCGGACAGUGUCUGGUGGGUAGUUUGACUGGGGCGGUCUCCUCCUAAAGAGUAACGGAGGAGCACGAAGGUUGGCUAAUCCUGGUCGGACAUCAGGAGGUUAGUGCAAUGGCAUAAGCCAGCUUGACUGCGAGCGUGACGGCGCGAGCAGGUGCGAAAGCAGGUCAUAGUGAUCCGGUGGUUCUGAAUGGAAGGGCCAUCGCUCAACGGAUAAAAGGUACUCCGGGGAUAACAGGCUGAUACCGCCCAAGAGUUCAUAUCGACGGCGGUGUUUGGCACCUCGAUGUCGGCUCAUCACAUCCUGGGGCUGAAGUAGGUCCCAAGGGUAUGGCUGUUCGCCAUUUAAAGUGGUACGCGAGCUGGGUUUAGAACGUCGUGAGACAGUUCGGUCCCUAUCUGCCGUGGGCGCUGGAGAACUGAGGGGGGCUGCUCCUAGUACGAGAGGACCGGAGUGGACGCAUCACUGGUGUUCGGG
rnacentral:rRNA from 1 species